CUAAGAAAUAGUGGUGAUACCUGCACCGUUGGUAGCAACAGUGUCGAGCCCUAAUGGAAAAAGACUGGCUUGCCACCCUUUGUGUUGGACAUUUUCAGAGUGCAGAGUGCCUCUCUCAGGACUGAAUGACUGUUCUAGUCUCAGAAGAGAGCUGAGUGAGGCUCUGCAGAGAUACGGAGAAAGGGUAACCACAAUAUAGUUAGCCAGCACAUCUUGGAGGGACUAUUCAAAUUAAGUGGCUCAUCAAUAAACACUUAACUGACACUGGGAGAUGCCCAUCUACACUGAAUGGACUGUCUUGCAAACAUGCUGUUUGAGAUGCUUCUGCUGCCGGAACAGGAUGUUGGUGGCUCCCGCAACAAAGCCACGGACUGUUACAUCAGAGAGGAGGUGAUGCUGUUGCAGUGCCAUGUAUGGCAAGCAAAGAUUAAACAGAAGGAUCACUAUCCAGAUGAAAAAUACCAACAACUAAAACAGAACUGCCUUUGUCAAAGAAUAAGAGUUCUAUGUUAGAGAGUCACCAACCUGGAGUAUUAGGUUUCUGGAAAAAUAAUAUUAAGGAAGUUGACAAUGCAAUAUUUAAUUGUCGUGUAAUUUUAACAAUCAGACAAGCUGUACCAUUUUAGAAAUGCUUUGCCAUUUAAAAGAAAGAGGGCCUGAUUCCAAACUCACCAUGCAACUAUGAUGGCUUCUGAUUUACACUGGUGUAAAUGAGAUGAGCAUCUGACCUUAUAUAGCUGGCACUAAAAUUAGUAACAAAAAUCCAUAACCUGUUUUUUCUUUGUAGUUUGUGCUCUUUUAUACUAGGAAAUACGUUACCACAUGGUCAAUAAAGCCAGUUCAUGACCUUUUGGCACAAUCUCAUUCAUCCAAAUUUGGUCUGGUGGACUAAACUUUCUUUCCAUAGUAUGGAACAAACAAACAAAAACAAGAAAACAAACUUGUAAAUAAUCCUGUCUAAAUAGCUUCGCUGAUUAUAAGACCAGAAGGGACCACUGUGAUCAACCUAGUCUGACUUCCUGUAUAACACUGGUCAUAACAUUUCCUUGAAUUAGAGUAUAUAUCUUUAAAAAAAAAAAAUCCAUUCUUGAUUUAAAAAUUGCCAGAUCUAAAAUGAAGUUCAGUUUCAUGUUGAAUUAAAUUGUUUCCUGAGAGUAGACAAUCUAGAAGUUAUUGAAGGAUGCUCAUCACUAGAAAUUGGUAUAUCUGUAAUUUCCAGUUCUCUGCUUUGAUUUCAUUAGCUAAACUUGAAUGAGAGAGUGCCUUUGUAGGGUGGAAGGUAAACAUUAAAAAACAUAUUGUCAGCUAAAUUUAAACUGUUUAGUUCUCCAUUUUAAAACCCCUCUUAAAAUCUUCAAGAUUCUCCCCACUCACCCACUAAUGAUUUUGUCCUUUUAACAAAUGAAAAAAGCACUGCUUUCCCCCUUUAAACUGAUAUUUCUAAUUGAGCUGAAGUUAAUAUGACUUUGCAUUUGCUUGUAUGCAGUGUUGUUGUAACCGUGUCAGCCCCAGGAUAUUAGUGACAGAAAGUGGA